GAUGAACGCUGGCGGCGUGCCUAAUACAUGCAAGUCGAGCGAGCGGGCGAGAAGCUUGCUUUUGUGAUGUUAGCGGCGGAAGGGGGAGUAACACGUGGAUAACCUACCUAUAAGACUGGGAUAACUUCGGGAAACCGGAUCUAAUACCGGAUAAUAUUUUGAACCGCAUGGUUCAAAAGGGAAAGACGGUCUUGCUUUCACUGAGAGAUGGAUCGGCGCUGCAUUAGCUAGUUGGUAAGGUAACGGCUUACAAAGGCAACGAUGCAUAGCCGACCUGGGAGGGUGGUCGGCGACCCUGGAACGAAGACGAGGCCGAGACGCCUCCGGGAGGCAGCAGUAGGGAAUCAUACGCAAUGAGGGACGGACUGAUGGAGCAGCGACGCGGGAGUGAUGAUGGUCUUCGGAUCGUUGUAAUCUGCUAUCAGGGAAGAAGAUAUGUGUACGUAACUGUGCAUAUCUUGACGGUAGCUAAUCAGAAAGCCCCGGCUAACUACGUG
rnacentral:rRNA from 1 species